rnacentral:rRNA from 1 species
UGGCGGACGGGUGAGUAACGCGUGGGUAACCUGCCUCAUACAGGGGGAUAACGGUUAGAAAUGACUGCUAAUACCGCAUAAGCGCACAGUACCGCAUGGUACGGUGUGAAAAACUCCGGUGGUAUGAGAUGGACCCGCGUCUGAUUAGCUGGUUGGUGAGGUAACGGCCCACCAAGGCGACGAUCAGUAGCCGACCUGAGAGGGUGACCGGCCACAUUGGGACUGAGACACGGUCCAA